CUAGCUUAGCCACGUACAAAAUUCUCCGUUCCAAUAGAGAGACUUGAAAAGCAAAGCCGAUAGAAACAAUAGGUUGAAUUGAAGACGAUCUCCGCGCUGCAGCAGAAGAGAAAUGUCUGGAAGAGACCGAUAUCACCGAGAGGUUCAAGACCCUUCUUACCAUGAUCGACGUCGUUUUACUCCCGAGAGACCAUUCCUUCGCGCCCCUCCACCUCCAUCACUCUUAGAAGAUCUUCAGAUACAAGAAGCUGAAAUCCGGAGGCUUUUGUCUGAUAACCACAGACUAGCUGACGACCGAGUGCUUCUGGAGAGAGAGCUCGGUGCAGCUAAGGAAGAGCUUCACCGUCUGAACCUGAUGGUCUCUGAUCUCCGUGCCGAACAGGAUCUGCAGGCGAGGGAGUUCAGUGAGAAAAGGCAUAAACUUGAGGGGGAUAUUCGUGCUAUGGAGUCUUACAAGAAGGAGGCUUCUCAGUUGCGCGGAGAAGCUCAGAAGCUGAGUGAGAUAAAGCGUGAAUUAAGUGGAGACGUUCAGAUACUUAGGAAGGAUUUGGUGAAGUUGCAGUCGGAUAACAAGCAGAUUCCGCGUUUGAGAGCUGAGGUUGAGGACCUGCAGAAGGAGCUUAUGCACGCUAGAGGUGCUAUUGACUACGAGAAGAAGGAAAAGUUUGAGCUUAUUGAACAGCGGCAGAUAAUGGAAAAGAACAUGGUUUCUAUGGCGCGUGAAGUUGAAAAGCUACGGGCAGAACUUGCUACUGUUGAUAGUAGGCCGUGGGGUUUUGGUGGAUCAUAUGGGAUGAAUCUCGGCACUAUGGAUGGCGCUUACCGUGGUUCUUAUGGAGAAACCGAUGGUUUUCUGGGAUCUUCGGAAAGGAGUCAAUAUUACAGCCAUGGGUCUGGCUCGCAGAAGAAACCUCGCUUGGAUCGUCACUGAAUCUUAUCAACCAUCCUGGGAAAAGAGAAUGAGGAAACAAAGCUUGAAAAGGACAGACUUCGAGGCCAAUCAUCAUCUACUAGUUGGAAUCGAAAAAGGAACCAAAACGGUCAUAAUAGAAACCAAACCGUAGGCAACAUCUUGGAUCUUUUCCCUCGCACCAACGUCUUGGUAUCAGGAAAAACUCCGUCGCCGAUUUUCUCAACCGCACCAUCUGUCGUCACACUAAUGGGGUACACAACCAAGUGUACACCGUUCAUGUCCACUACCUUCUCACCGCUGUAAAUAUCCCACAUUUGUUCCCCAAUUGUCAGCAACCCUCGGACGCAUUCAAGACUCUCUGGCUCCGAGAAAGAUAACUCAUCCACUGUGAUCUUGCCACCUGUAUGCUCGUACCAGAGCGACAACCGGUUAGGAGUUUAAACCAAACCUAUCAUGAUCUUGGAGUGGACAUAGACCAUGAAUCUCCGGUUCCUCUGUGCGUUCCAGUACUGUGUUUUGGGAUGCGGAGACGAAGCUGCUUCAUACUCUCCUUCUCUCUUCUCUUCUCUGUUUGCGAGACAGAAGAAGUUUAAGUAAUCCCUUGGAUGCGACCCGUCUCCAACUUCCCAUAUCGCCUCUCCUAUGAUCUUAUACAUCAUUGUCAUUGUCUCUCUCGUCCAAUGAAGCAUCUCUUCGACCGUUUCGCUCUCCGGUGGCCCUUCAGGCCACAUUGGUAUCACUAUAUACACGGCAAACCUCUCCUUCUCGCGUAUUUUAGCCGCAAUCUUUAAAGCUAUUUCAACGGGUAUCAAGUUUGUGCAUCCGCUUCCGUUCUUCCCCUCCCAAUGCUCGCAGCCUCCCAUAAAAUACUGAUUCUCAAUGUAUAUAAACCUCUCUGCUUUUCGAAUCGCCGCGACGUAACCGUCGUGUACGCUCCUCUCGACCUGUAAGCCUCUAGGCAUCUCCGUUGCCGACACGUGAUCUAUCGAUCUCAGGACUUGGACAUUCCAGUUCCUGUCAUCUUCUUCAGUGGUUGCACUGUUUACUAAGUUUCUUAUCCCUGAGGUGUUAACCAACACAGAAGGGUUACACUGUUUCGUCCAUCUCUGUUCGAAAUUCUUCAAAACAUCCCAAGCUGCAGCCCCGACCACACACACGUGACAAUCGUGCCACGGCUCUCUUGGUCCGCCUCUGCUUAGCUUAGCUCCAGCAAGGCUUGUUUGAUAAAAAUCAUCGCUUGUCCCGAGUGUACGGAACAGAGAAUGCUCCUCUGUGUCGUAACGACCAUCGCAGAGGUCAAAACCGCCGAGGAAGCUCAUGAUCUCUCGCUCUUUUGUGUUUGUAUUCGUUACACGUGUGUCCACUGUGAUGGUCUUUUGGUGGUGUGCGAAAGCCGUAGGGAGCUUCUUGUGCGAUCUUGGACACAAUCUACAAACAACACUUGUGUCUCUGAAGUAAGAAAGAGCUGUUUGGUCGUUUGUUCGCAUUACACCUUUGUUCUUGAUCAUCGGUAGAGACGACUCGUCGUUCCACACCAUUACUCUCACCGCUACGCCUUCGUGUGCUUUGCGUUUCAGAAGCUCACCGAUCGUUACCCCCACUGCGUGUGGAAUCUCUGUCUCUUCAUCACGUACGAGAACGAGGUUAGGGUUUAAUGCCCAUCCUGCGAUGUAAACUAAAUGCCUAGCGCAAUCAAUCGCUUUAUAAACAUCUUCCCAUAGGUUUCUUGCAUUACAAGGAACAUCAUGAACCCUAGGAUCAAACGUGGCUUUAUGGUGCGCGUCUUGAUACAAUACAACUCUGCAGUUCGAUCGUUGCGGGAAGCUAGCGUUCUUAAUACCUUGAAAAGGCUCUCCUUCGAACGUUUUGCACCAUCCCGGUUCUAGAUAAGCUGGUCUGAACCACAUCAUACACUUGAGCUUCAAGUUAGGUUUCUUAGAUCCGUUAUUUGUAGUCAGAGGAAAACACCCGUUGACAAUGGCUGUAUUAGAAGUCAGAAUCUGUUCAGCAGAGAUUCGGAAUCUUCCGAGAACGGAACAGUGAGUCUUGAGCGUGAUUGUGAUGGUGGUGUCGGAAACAGGAUGUGCGCAGAGGAUCUGAAAUGUCUGGUUCCAGACACGGUCGAGUUCUGAGCUUGUUUUAGCAACUUUCUUCUUGUUUAGCUUAAUGGUCACGUAAGCUGGUCUUGGCUUCGUACAUAUACACUGCGAAUAAGAUAACAAAUAGCUCUUUGACCAAAAAAAAAAAAAAAACAAGAUAACAAAUAGCUCAUGAGACAUUAACACAAUAUUACCGUCAUCUUUAACAACAUAAUACGUACAUGGAAAGGAAAUGUAGGAGAGAAAGGUGUUGCGUCGAAGAUUGUAAUCUCGAGUGUUCCAUGGAAGAACUUCUUCUGUUCCUCAAGCUCCAUUUUUUCCCCCUGUACGAAAAUGAAUCUUUAGGUGUAUGAGAGAAACGUUUCUGCGAUUAUGUGUGUUGAAGCUGGGUCAGUUACAUAAUGCACAAGGAUGCGCCUGGUUUAUUAUAUAUAUGCUUUUGGCUUUUGGUUAAACUUGGAGGAUUCUCGAAGGACAAUCUUAAAGAAAACAUUCAACAACAUAUUUUAUGUGUAUUAAUUUGAAGGUUGAAGUGUCUUGGAAUACAAAUCAAGCAUUCGGCUUUGGUUUA